rnacentral:rRNA from 1 species
UAGGGAAUCUUCCACAAUGGACGAAAGUCUGAUGGAGCAACGCCGCGUGAGUGAAGAAGGGUUUCGGCUCGUAAAACUCUGUUGUUAAAGGAGAACAUAUCUGAGAGUAACUGUUCAGGUAUUGACGGUAUUUAACCAGAAAGCCACGGCUAACUACGUGCCAC